rnacentral:ncRNA from 1 species
GGAAGGAGAAGUCGUAACAAGGUUUCGUGAUCCUUCUCGCCCUUCCCGUCGAAAGGGGGUUCGAGUCGCACGGAAGCCUGAGUGCAAUGUGACAUGGUAAGUUGCAAGAGCGCUAGUGUCGGAUAUGGCCGAUGCGAUGUCAUCAAACUGCGGGAAACCCCUGAAUGAUGAACACUACCAAGCACGGCGGUGUAAACAAAUUCACCGAGUGUGGCCGGAUGGAGAAGUCCGGGUAAGGUCAUAACGUGAUCAUCUAGGCCACCCCAUUAGGGUGCGCCCCAAGGCAACCUGCAACCAAUCCCAUUUUGCAUUGGAAUGGGUCCAGCUCACAGACUAAAUGAUGACAGGCUCGUUGAUUGACGAGCUCAAGAUAUAGUCGGGCGUGCCCAUGGGCAUGAUGCAUUCUUCGCAAUGAGUUUUCACCG